AGCGGCGGGUGGAGCGGGUAGAAGACGCCGCCAGGACGCGUGCGCGCGAGGGGGGUGGAUCCUCUCGGCGGGCAGGCAGGAGGGAAGGAAGGAAGGAAGGAAGGUUCUGGAUGUUGGCGAAGCACCAUCGGUAGAUGUGCAGCUAACAGCAGAAGAUGAACUUUACCCCUGGAGUAAUGUUGGCUUUCUCGCUGUUGAGUGCUUUAUGGAGCAGUGCAGUUGUGGGAGAAGAAUUGUUGAAACAAUUAUUUAAAGAUACGCCAAAAGCACAAGAAAUGAACUACAAUGAUAUAAUUAGCAGAAUCAUGAACAUUAAUAGACCUUUACGUAAGAAUUUGCAAUAAUUUUUUGUAUUCAUUCAAAUUGUUUAAUGUUUUCACAAUGCUGUUAUGAAAUUGACCAAUGGA